rnacentral:ncRNA from 1 species
UCUUAUCAAGAGAGGUGGAGGGAUAAGGGCCCUAUGAAACCCAGCAACCUGCUUUUGCAAAGGUGCUAAUUCCCCCAAUGGUAUUUAUCAUUGGAAGAUA